rnacentral:rRNA from 1 species
GUUGAACGCUGGCGGCGUGCCUAAUACAUGCAAGUCGAGCGAACAGAUGAGGAGCUUGCUCCUCUGACGUUAGCGGCGGACGGGUGAGUAACACGUGGAUAACCUACCUAUAAGACUGGGAUAACUUCGGGAAACCGGAGCUAAUACCGGAUAAUAUAUUGAACCGCAUGGUUCAAUAGUGAAAGACGGUUUUGCUGUCACUUAUAGAUGGAUCCGCGCCGCAUUAGCUAGUUGGUAAGGUAACGGCUUACCAAGGCAACGAUGCGUAGCCGACCUGAGAGGGUGAUCGGCCACACUGGAACUGAGACACGGUCCAGACUCCUACGGGAGGCAGCAGUAGGGAAUCUUCCGCAAUGGGCGAAAGCUUGACGGAGCAACGCCGCGUGAGUGAUGAAGGUCUUCGGAUCGUAAAACUCUGUUAUUAGGGAAGAACAAAUGUGUAAGUAACUAUGCACGUCUUGACGGUACCUAAUCAGAAAGCCACGGCUAACUACGUG